rnacentral:rRNA from 1 species
CAGAAAGACCCUAUGAAGCUUUACUGUAACUUGAAAUUGAAAUUGGACUUUAUUUGCGCAGUAUAGGUGGGAGGCGUUGAGAAUAUUCUUGCGGGAAUAUUGGAGCCAUCAGUGAGAUACCACUCCUAUAAUGUUAGAUUUCUAACUUUUACCAUUAUCUGGUCAAAGAACAGUUUCAGGCGGGCAGUUUGACUGGGGCGGUCGCCUCCUAAAUGGUAACGGAGGCGCACAAAGGUUUCCUCUGAACGGGUAGAAAUCGUAUCUAGAGUGUAAAGGCAUAAGGAAGCUUGACUGUGAGACCUACAAGUCGAGCAGGGACGAAAGUCGGUCUUAGUGAUCUGACGGUGCUGAGUGGAAAGGCCGUCACUCAACGGAUAAAAGUUACUCUAGGGAUAACAGGCUGA